GCCUUUUGGCUGAAUAGGUGCAUAGGAGUUCAAUGGACAUGAACCGAUGCAUGUAGGUGGACAUUCAUGCACUCUCCCAUUUCAUUGUAAUGAAAUAUUCAUGUACCAUCCUUAAAGCAUCCAUUCGUUGAAGGAAUUCAUUCAUGCACCCACACGUACAUUGAAUAAAAAAUGUUCAUGAAUCUUCAUUAAUUGUGUUCCCGCAUUCGGCUAUACCUACAAAAGCCAUAAACAAAUUAGAUUCAAGGUACAUUCAGCUUAGAUUAAAUAAUAUCAAGACAUAUUUAACAAAUUAAAAUAAAUACAUAAAUAAAAUAUAAUUAACAAUAAAUUCGGCUAGCUCAAUAUAGUUGAAAUUCUUGACGAGCUGAAUUGAGCUAGAGAAUUCGGUCAUGAGCUGUAGUAAAAUAAUUAAAAUAAAACUAAUACUCAAUUUAUUUAAAUGAUAACAAUAACGAGCUGAUAGAAAGCUAAAUUGAGCUCAAAUGGAUGGAAUUGAGCUCAAGUGAGCUGAUUGGAGCUGAAAUGAGCUAAGGGAGCUGAAACUGAGCUAAAGUCAGCUUGCACUAAGGUGCAUGGAUUCUUCAAGGAGUUGGCUUGAGCUUCACCAUCAUCAAUGAGCUGAUUCUCCUUCCAAAACUUAAGAAACAAAGCUGAAACAACUUCUUGGAGUCACUUGGUGCUAGCUCGAGUCAUUGGUCCCUUUGGAAGCUCAAGGAAGUCAAGACGAGGACUUGGUGGAGCUUGGGG
rnacentral:lncRNA from 1 species